rnacentral:rRNA from 1 species
CUUGGUUUGAAAGCUUCGGUGGAUACGGAUGAGCUCGCGAGACAUUAGUUAGUUGGCGGGGUAACGGCCCACCAAGACCGCGAUGUCUAGGGGAACUGAGAGGUUGGUCCCCCACACUGGAACUGAGACACGGUCCAGACUCCUACGGGAGGCAGCAGUGAGGAAUAUUGGACAAUGGUCGGAAGACUGAUCCAGCCAUGCCGCGUGAAGGAUAAGGUCCUAUGGAUUGUAAACUUCUUUUGAGUGGGAGCAAUAAGGGUAUCGUGAUACCCGAUGAGAGUACCAUUCGAAUAAGCAUCGGCUAACUCCGUGCCAGCAGCCGCGGUAAUACGGAGGAUGCGAGCGUUAUCCGGAUUUAUUGGGUUUAAAGGGUGCGUAGGCGGUUUUUCAAGUCAGCGGUGAAACGCAAGGGCUCAACCCUUGACCUGCCGUUGAAACUGUUGGACUAGAAUGCGGAUGCUGUGGGAGGAAUGUGUGGUGUAGCGGUGAAAUGCAUAGAUAUCACACAGAACACCGAUUGCGAAGGCAUCUCACAAAUCCGUGAUUGACGCUGAGGCACGAAAGUGUGGGGAUCAAACAG